GAUGAACGCUGGCGGCGUGCCUAAUACAUGCAAGUCGAGCGAACAGACGAGGAGCUUGCUCCUCUGACGUUAGCGGCGGACGGGUGAGUAACACGUGGAUAACCUACCUAUAAGACUGGGAUAACUUCGGGAAACCGGAGCUAAUACCGGAUAAUAUAUUGAACCGCAUGGUUCAAUAGUGAAAGACGGUUUUGCUGUCACUUAUAGAUGGAUCCGCACCGCAUUAGCUAGUUGGUAAGGUAACGGCUUACCAAGGCAACGAUGCGUAGCCGACCUGAGAGGGUGAUCGGCCACACUGGAACUGAGACACGGUCCAGACUCCUACGGGAGGCAGCAGUAGGGAAUCUUCCGCAAUGGGCGAAAGCCUGACGGAGCAACGCCGCGUGAGUGAUGAAGGUCUUCGGAUCGUAAAACUCUGUUAUUAGGGAAGAACAAAUGUGUAAGUAACUAUGCACGUCUUGACGGUACCUAAUCAGAAAGCCACGGCUAACUACGUC
rnacentral:rRNA from 1 species